rnacentral:rRNA from 1 species
UACAGAGGUGGCAAGCGUUGUUCGGAAUUACUGGGCGUAAAGGGCGCGUAGGCGGUUCGUUAAGUCCUGUGUGAAAUCCCCCGGCUCAACUGGGGAACUGCACAGGAAACUAGCGGGCUUGAGUUCGGGAGAGGGAAGCGGAAUUCCGGGUGUAGGCGGUGAAAUGCGUAGAUAUCCGGAGGAACACCGGUGGCGAAGGCGGCUACCUGG